UUUUUUAAAAUGAAGACAUAUUAUAUACAGAAAAAUCUAAAAUUUUAUUAUAUGGUUAAUGUUAUUAUUUAAUUUAUUUUAAUAAUAUAAAAUUUUAAGAAAAUGAUAGAGGAUACAUAAAUAGUGAUCAAAUUUUUAUUAUUUAAAAUCAUUAAUUGGUAUAUAUAUUUUAAUCAUAUUAGGUAAUUGUAAUUUUGUACUUUUAUUUAAAGAAAGAAUGAAGAACAAAUUUGAUACAUUAAUAAUUAAUUCUAUGAAUAAUUAAAUUAAAAGUAUAAUAUAUGUUUAGAUAGACUAACUUACUUUUCUAAAGAUUAUAAGAAUCAUUAUAGUAAUCGCAUGGCAUAGCUCAAAUUAUUAAUUAAUAUAAUUACAAACUAUAAGAAUAAUUAUAGUAAUCACGUGGUAAUUGUAAUUUCUUAGUUUUUAUUUAAAGAAAGAAUGAAGAAUAUAUUUUAUACAUUAAUAAUUAAUUCUAUAAUUAGUUAAAAGUAUAGUAAUGACACAUGUCAUAACUCAAAGGUUGUAGUGUUUCUCAUAAUAUAUAAGAGACUAGGGUCGGCCCGCUCUACGGGCGAUAAAUUAUAAUAAAAACAUUUUUUUAUAUUGAAUAGUGUUUAUCUUUUUUAUUUAAAAACUAAUUUUAAGUUAACACUUAGUGUUUUGACCCAAAAAUAGUACUUAUAAUUAUGAUAUAAGAUAAUUCUAUUUGUAGUAGUUUUCCAAUGGUGUGGUGAUUUUGUAUUUAGUCGUUUGAUGAUGUUGGGAUUUUUUUAAAAUGAAGAAGUUAUUAUUAGAACACUAGAAACACUUUUGAGAGUCACAUAUUUAGUUACCAUUAGGAAUUCUAUAAUGUAUGUGAGGAAAUAUUAUUUAUUGAGAAAUGCAAUGUAUAUUUUUUGUGUGGACGAAUAAUAUAAGUACUAUUUGAAAACGUAAACGGAUUGGUAUGAUUAAAUAUAAGAACUUGUUGAGUGGGGUUCAUAUAAACUUUUUAGCCUAUUUUUUUAAAUUAAAUUGUAGAAAGUGUGUAUAUUCACCGAUUCAUUUUGUUUACAAUUUUGUGCCUUCAACAUUUGCACCAUUUUAAGUGAUUUUGAUGGAAGAUCUCGAAAGUUAUAAAGGAAAAAAUUGAGCGUUAGAGAGUUUUGCUUACCGAGGUGGCAUAUUUUACCAAUUGAUUUAGAUACUGAUUCCAAUGCUUUUAUAUAAGAAGAUUGGUUCUCUCUCUCUAGAGUAUCAUAAGUUUUUCUUUGGCUCUCUCUCUUAAAUCUCUCUGCAGAAACCUCCGCCGUAAGUCUCGUUCUUUUCCGGUAGCGGCACAGGCCCUCCUCCCUAAUCGCUGAUUUUUUUCUCUUUGCCUCUCAACCUCCUCAACCCCUUUUUCGACAUGUCAAGGCUCUCGAGAGCUAUUCCUUCAUCAGAGCUUCAGUCACGUGAUGCUGGUGACGAUUCUGUUCGGUGGAUGUGCUUUUCCUGAGUGGCGACGAGGCUAAGGUGGUUAGGAUGUGGCGAGGUCGGCUUUUACGGUGGCUAGAUUUGGGUCGACGUUUUCCCUUUUUCGAUCUAGGUUUCGCUGGAGUUUGUGGCGCGUGGUGCUACGACUAGGCUCUCCUGGCCUGGAUCUUCUCGGAUCUGUGUUGGUGUGGGGUGGUGGUGUCGGCUCUUGAUCCUCCGCCUUGGUAUCUCGGUGUAGGAGGAGCCUUCUACUCCAUCCAGUCUGGACUUCGAUGGUGUUCUCUCCUCAAGGCGUGUGUGGGUUACCUUCUUCUGGCGGUGCCAUUUGAAACUCUCCGGCAGCGCGUGUGGAGUCCCUGGUGAGGUGGCGCGUGGAGUUGUCUACGCUUCUCGGGAUCUCUGCUUCGUUCUUGCCUAGUCUCAUCACGGCUCUGUUAUGUGGUCUCUUCAUCCUCCAGAAGUGCACAUUUUGGUGGAGAAGUCUUUGGGUUUUGUUCUCGAUGGUUGGUAGCCUCGACAGCCACCGUUUGGCUACAUGUUAAAGCUUUAAGAACCUUCCUCUUGUUCUAAGAGAUGGAGUGCGUGGGCGUUUGUUGUGGUCCGAGAGUCUCCGGAACCCAACUCAUUGUCCGUGGCGGCGUGCUGGUUUGGCGUCUUUCCCAGUACCGAGUUUGGCUUUUCAGGCUUCGGUAGGAUGUCCUUACCCCUUCCACAAGACAGAGUAGUCACAGCUCAGCCGGCCUUUUUUCAAGAUGGGUGAACUUGCCAUGGCGUCAGAUCCGGUGGUUUCAGUUUCAGAAUUCAAGAUUAAAAGGUGUGGAAGAAGAAGAAAAGCUCGACGGUGGUGGGAUUUGAGAAAAGCAGAGCUGGAUGGUGGAUGCGACGAUGGCCACGUGGGAAGAACCCUAAAAAUGGAUCGAAGCGCGUUAGAGAUGCUGGAGACUAGGCCGUCCAAGAAUAAAGUCCAUAUAAACCGAAGCCCACCUAGACUUAAUGAAACAUUGCAUUUUAAAAUAGUGGGAUACGUGUCGACUUCUCAAAAUUGGAAUUAAUGAUGUGUCCGCCUACGUGUACAGCCUAGGAGAGAUGCAAACCCAACUUUAUAUAUAAAGAUAUAUAGGAAGAAAAAUAAAAAAUAUAUAUUUGUUUUAACAAAAAUUGUAUAAGGUAUUUUAUUUUUAUGACAAAAAAGGUAUUUUAAUU